CAGCCGCCGCGGGAAUACGAAGGGUGCAAGCGUUACUCGGAAUUACUGGGCGUAAAGCGUGCGUAGGUGGUGGUUUAAGUCCGUUGUGAAAGCCCUGGGCUCAACCUGGGAAUUGCAGUGGAUACUGGGUCACUAGAGUGUGGUAGAGGAUAGUGGAAUUUCCGGUGUAGCAGUGAAAUGCGUAGAGAUCGGAAGGAACAUCUGUGGCGAAGGCGACUAUCUGGGCCAACACUGACACUGAGGCACGAAAGCGUGGGGAGCAAACAGGAUUAGAUACCCCAGUAGUCCUGUCUCUUAUACA
rnacentral:rRNA from 1 species